CUGUUUGAUUCUAUGAAGCUGAGA
rnacentral:siRNA from 1 species